GACGAACGCUGGCGGCGUGCCUAAUACAUGCAAGUAGGACGCACAGUCUAUACCGUAGCUUGCUACACCAUAGGCUGUGAGUUGCGAACGGGUGAGUAACGCGUAGGUAACCUGCCUAUUAGAGGGGGAUAACUAUUGGAAACGAUAGCUAAUACCGCAUAACAGUAUGUAACACAUGUUAGAUGCUUGAAAGAUGCAAUUGCAUCGCUAGUAGAUGGACCUGCGUUGUAUUAGCUAGUAGGUAGGGUAAUGGCCUACCUAGGCGACGAUACAUAGCCGACCUGAGAGGGUGAUCGGCCACACUGGGACUGAGACACGGCCCAGACUCCUACGGGAGGCAGCAGUAGGGAAUCUUCGGCAAUGGGGGAACCCUGACCGAGCAACGCCGCGUGAGUGAAGAAGGUUUUCGGAUCGUAAAGCUCUGUUGUUAAGGAAGAACGAGUGUGAGAAUGGAAAGUUCAUACUGUGACGGUACUUAACCAGAAAGGGACGGCUAACUACGUG
rnacentral:rRNA from 1 species